rnacentral:misc_RNA from 1 species
UGAUUUGAGCACUUCAUUCCACAGUAAGAGAUCAUAAAAAAUAUUAAACAGGAGACAUUUAGAAGGAGAUCAAGGUUCAAGUCUUUAGAGAUAAAAAAAUACACUCUCAUCACAUGGCUUUUGAAGACCAAUAUAGCUGCAAAGACAUUCUACACUUAUAGUGUGUUUGGGUGGAGUGUGGGAAGGUUUUAUAAAGGUAAUGGAAGGUAAGAUAGUAAAACCUUCCCAAUUCAAACCUCCCCAACCCACCAAUUUGGUGGUUUGAAAAAGUGAGACUUUUGUAUCCUUGAAAAAACCUUCCUUCAAAACAAGCAUACUUUAAAAACCCAUCUCUUACCUUCCAAAACUUCCUCACAAACAAGCUGCUAGUAAUAAGCAGCAACCCACGCACCGGGAAGCAAACUCAAAAGAAAAACCAAACUCAAGAAUUGCAAGCCAGACUAUUAACAGUACCCACAAGGCAACAAAACCCAAAAAGAAUAAAUAUUAAAUAAAGGAUUCCCAUUUCAGUGGCAUAGUUUGAAUUAAAAAGGUACGGUUUUCGAGAUUCUUCGAACUAAAAAAGCUUAAAAGCUUCAAUGAACACAUAAUGUAAAUGCUCCCAGGAGUUGAAUAAUGGCCUUUCUAAUUUACCUCUGGUCUUGAGCAAUCUCAG